rnacentral:rRNA from 1 species
CUGCAGUCGAGCGCAGGAAGCAAGUUGAUCCCCUUCGGGGGUGACGCUUGUGGAAUGAGCGGCGGACGGGUGAGUAACACGUGGGCAACCUGCCUGUAAGACUGGGAUAACCCCGGGAAACCGGGGCUAAUACCGGAUAAUACUUUCUUUUGCAUAAAGGAAAGUUGAAAGGCGGCUUCGGCUGUCACUUACAGAUGGGCCCGCGGCGCAUUAGCUAGUUGGUGAGGUAACGGCUCACCAAGGCGACGAUGCGUAGCCGACCUGAGAGGGUGAUCGGCCACACUGGGACUGAGACACGGCCCAGACUCCUACGGGAGGCAGCAGUAGGGAAUCUUCCGCAAUGGACGAAAGUCUGACGGAGCAACGCCGCGUGAGUGAUGAAGGUUUUCGGAUCGUAAAACUCUGUUGUUAGGGAAGAACAAGUUGGGUAGUAACUGACCCAACCUUGACGGUACCUAACCAGAAAGCCACGGCUAACUACGUGCCAGCAGCCGCGGUAAUACGUAGGUGGCAAGCGUUGUCCGGAAUUAUUGGGCGUAAAGCGCUCGCAGGCGGUCCUUUAAGUCUGAUGUGAAAUCUCGCGGCUCAACCGCGAACGGUCAUUGGAAACUGGAGGACUUGAGUACAGAAGAGGAGAGUGGAAUUCCACGUGUAGCGGUGAAAUGCGUAGAGAUGUGGAGGAACACCAGUGGCGAAGGCGACUCUCUGGUCUGUAACUGACGCUGAGGAGCGAAAGCGUGGGGAGCGAACAGGAUUAGAUACCCUGGUAGUCCACGCCGUAAACGAUGAGUGCUAG